GAUGAAGAACGUAGCGAAAUGCGAUAAGUAAUGUGAAUUGCAGAAUUCAGUGAAUCAUCGAAUCUUUGAACGCACAUUGCGCCCCCCAGUAUUCUGGCGGGCAUGCCUGUUCGAGCGUCAUUUCAACCAUCAAGCCCUGCUUGUGUUGGGGUCCUGCGGCUGCCCGCAGGCCCUGAAAACCAGUGGCGGGCUCGCUAGGCACACCGAGCGCAGUAGCACAUCUCGCUCAGGGCGUGCGGCGGGCUCCAGCCGUUAAAGCACCCACCUUUCGCAAGGUUGACCUCGGAUCAGGUAGGAAUACCCGCUGAACUUAAGCAUAUCAAUAAGCGGAGGA
rnacentral:misc_RNA from 1 species